rnacentral:rRNA from 1 species
UACAGAGGGUGCAAGCGUUAAUCGGAAUUACUGGGCGUAAAGCGUGCGUAGACGGUUACGUAAGUCAGAUGUGAAAGCCCCGGGCUCAACCUGGGAAUUGCAUUUGAGACUGCGUAGCUAGGGUGCGGAAGAGGGAAGCGGAAUUUCCGGUGUAGCGGUGAAAUGCGUAGAUAUCGGAAGGAACACCAGUGGCGAAAGCGGCUUCCUGGUCCAGCACCGACGUUCAGGCACGAAAGCGUGGGGAGCAAACAGGG